rnacentral:rRNA from 1 species
ACGAACGCUGGCGGCAUGCCUAACCCCUGCAAGUCGAACGAGACCUUCGGGUCUAGUGGCGCACGGGUGCGUAACGCGUGGGAACCUGCCCUUAGGUUCGGAAUAACUCCCCGAAAGGGGUGCUAAUACCGGAUAAUGCCUUCGGACCAAAGAUUUAUCGCCUUUGGAUGGGCCCGCGUUGGAUUAGCUAGUUGGUAGGGUAAAAGCCUACCAAGGCGACGAUCCAUAGCUGGUCUGAGAGGAUGAUCAGCCACACUGGGACUGAGACACGGCCCAGACUCCUACGGGAGGCAGCAGUGGGGAAUAUUGGACAAUGGGCGAAAGCCUGAUCCAGCAAUGCCGCGUGAGUGAUGAAGGCCUUAGGGUUGUAAAGCUCUUUUACCCGGGAUGAUAAUGACAGUACCGGGAGAAUAAGCUCCGGCUAACUCCGUG